UACGAAGGGGGCUAGCGUUGUUCGGAAUUACUGGGCGUAAAGCGCGUGUAGGCGGGUCUUUAAGUCAGGGGUGAAAUGCCAAGGCUCAACCUUGGAACUGCCUUUGAUACUGGAGAUCUUGAGUCCGGGAGAGGUGAGUGGAACUGCGAGUGUAGAGGUGAAAUUCGUAGAUAUUCGGAAGAACACCAGUGGCGAAGGCGGCUCACUGGCCCGGUACUGACGCUGAGACGCGAAAGCGUGGGGAGCGAACAGG
rnacentral:rRNA from 1 species